AAAGAAGAAGACACCUGACAUGCGCAUGUUUCUCUUUGAAAAUCGUGAGCGGAUUUAAGUGCAGUUUUAAUUUGCAGCUGUGGCGGGCUGUUGCAGCGGUAUAGGUGUAUUUUUACUGUGUAUUUGUUUUGAACUUGUAUUAGACCACCAAGAUAACACAUUACUUAACACAUUUUACGCAUAUUUGUUGUGAAUUUCUUGGCUCGAGAGUACCAGACAAAGGUCCUAUGAUUGGCGAAAUUGCCGUUGACCAACGUGGACAACAAAAAGCAUUUUGCUAUUAACCUGGACGACUGGAAAAGACAAGGCAAAUGAACUUGCAGUUGACUCAGAGCAGCAGCACAGGCCAGACCAACAGCAGUACCGGCCUGAGAGCAGACCUUCUUCGAUCUAGAAUAGCCCAUCCCAGCCCAGACUACAACAGUCCCAGAAGCAGCAACGAUCCACAGCAACUGAAUUUCUAUGUAGCAAGUGAAAGAGCCUUCAGAAAGGGCAGCAGGAAGGAAGAAAAUGUGUCAGAGGGAGGUGUCGCCCAGCAUUACAGUCCGGUGAUCAGCAUACACAUGCACAACCACGCACACACGCAUACACACAUGCUCAUACACUUAAACAUUUUCAUUCAGUUUCCCAAACACACUGUGGGGAGAAAAGCCUAACCAAACAUGUUAUGAAGAUAAACUACAGCCAAGAGACUUUUCCUUCAUAAUCAGCAUGUGCAAAAUGAACAGUUACUUGAAAAGAGCAUGGUAGUGAUGCAUCAAAGUCUGUAACAUUUAUUUUGUCUGAUGAAAGUUAAUUGUUUCCCCUGCGGGUAGAAAUAGUCCUGGCCACCUCAUUUAUGUCUAUCUGCUUUUGGUAAAUUAAGAAAAAAGGACAUUGUACCUUUUGGCUGUUUUGCCACCAGGAUUGAAAAUAAACACUUCGCUUGGAGUUUCA